rnacentral:lncRNA from 1 species
GACAAAAGUCACAGGUAUGGUGAACACCACUGUGGUUGGUUACCUGCGUUUGCAAUAUUAAGAGAGGCUGUUUCAGGUCAGUGAAAUUAAAGAUGUCAUUUUUCCCCAUCUAAGUUCACAGAGCCCCUGAAAUUCUUUCCACGGACAAGAAACCUUGCUAACCGGCCAGACGCAGUUCAGGCCCUUCUGGCCCAGAGCUAAGCUGAGGGGCAAGGAACCAGGGAUCCCCUGCACCCUCGCUUCAUUGCGAGUACUUCUUGGGAAACCCUCUGCUUUCUCUUCUUCUAGCCUGAUGCUUUGGAAAGGUUUUGUAAAGCAAUUUGAAACCACGUCCUUUUUCAGGACAAUCCUGAUGCAUACAUGACCAAAGAUUAACAAGGAUCUUUGAUGUGUUUCUUCAACCACGGCAAUCAUUGUCACCAAAUAAAGGAUCUUGCUCAAGUUGCCCUGGCUUGGUGGAACUGUGGAGUUAGGGUUUUUCUUUUCAAAGCCUGCCCGGGGAGGGUCCGUGUUCCCCUCACUCUUGCAAUUUGGACACACACUCGCUCACAGGCAACUGAGCAGCACACACACCCCCUCUCAGGUCCUAACGGCGGAGCUGUCAUCUUAGAACCACACAGUCAUCAUCGCAUGCCAUUGCAGGGGCAACGCGGCAGGCGGGCCCCCCUCCAAAGGCCAACCAGCCCCCGCGCAGGCCCGGCCAGGCUGCGGCGCCGACACACAGGAGCCUGCCCGGGUCCAGGUCUCCGGCUCUCUGCAGGGGAGCGGGGAGCGCGCUUGCCCGCGCCCACGCCCCCCGCACUCGCCGCGCACCCCCGGGCGCACGGCCCUGCGCGCGCACGCCGCUCCUCGCGGGCGCACGCACAGCGCAGCCGGGCCAGGGACGGCCGUGUCGGCGGCUGCCCCAGAGGUCCGGGGCGCGCAGCCGGGUCCCCUGGAGGGCGCCGCUGGCCGCCCCGCCCCGCCCCGCCCCGCCCCUCGAGCCAGCCGAGCCGGGCGCGCAGUGGGCUGCAAAGUUUCGCCGCGCGAGUCCGCGGAGGCGGCGCAUCGGUUCCAGCUCGGCUCAGCUCCACUCGGCUCCGGAGGGCCGUGACCGCGGGCCGGGGCUCGGGCGGCGGGGACGGCCCGGCUCUUGGCUGCCCACCGCGCUCUGCCCCGCGCCCCGCGCCCCCGGUGCCAGCGCUGCCCGCGCGCCCUCCCGCCCGCCGCACGGUCGGUCCCCAGCCUCCGGUGCGCCCGCGCCCUCCUCCUCCCGGGCUCCAGCC